CUUGUCAUUGAUUUUCAUUUUCUUGUUCAUCUCCUUCUUCGAUUAGAAUUCUGAUUCAAUCUGAUUUUAUUUUCGCUACUAAAUUUAGCCUUUUUUUUUCUUUUUUUUUUUUAUCUUUCUUUAUCGCGAUUACUGGUUUUUGAAUUGAGAGGUGAAGAUGGAGAUAGAGCAGGAGAUGGAAUGGAUCGAAGCGCAGAAGAUUGGAAUAAGCGUGGAGCUUGUUGGUGUAGCCAAACGCCAGCUUCAGUUUCUCACUGCUGUUGAUAGAAAUCGCUACCUCUAUGAUGGCCCUGUCCUACUCCGAGCUAUCUAUAGGUAUAAUGCUUGUUGGCUUCCUUUGCUUGCCAAACACUCUGAGAAAUUGAUUUUUGAAGGACCUCUUGUUGCUCCUCUUGAUUGUGAAUGGAUUUGGCAUUGUCACAGGCUCAAUCCAGUUCGUUAUAAGUCUGAUUGUGAGCAAUUUUAUGGGAGGGUCCUUGAUAAUAGUAACGUGAUUUCCUCUGUUCAAGGGGGUUGUGGAAGGAAAACUGAAGAAAUUUGGAAUAGUUUGUAUCCUGAGGAGCCAUACACCUUAAACUUAAAGAGGGCAUUAUCAGAGGAUAUCUCUGAAAGAAUAUCUGAACUUGAGAAUUGCACCAAAUAUGAUCUGGUUUCAGCUGUUAAAAGACAGAAUCCUUUCUUCUACCAGGUGUCUAGACCCCAUAUGAACAAUGAUCUCUUUCUUGAAGGAGCUGUGGCUAGGUAUAGAGGGUUUCUUCAUCUGAUAAGGAGAAACAGGGAGAAGUCUCUAAAUCGCUUUUGUGUUCCGACUUAUGACAUUGACCUCAUUUGGCAUUCUCAUCAAUUGAAUCCUGUAUCUUAUGGUAAAGACCUGAACAAACUAAUAGGUAAAAUCUUGGAACAUGAUGACACGGACUCAGACAGAAGUAAAGGAAUGAAGCUCGAUGUUGGGUUUUCUGGUACUACCAAGCAGUGGGAAGACACAUUUGGUACAAGAUAUUGGAGGGCAGGGUCAAUGUACAAAGGCAGUGCUCCAUCUCCUGUUACAGACAUUCCUUUGUCACCAAACAUGAUCAGCAAGGAGGCAGUUACAUCGAAUGAAUAUUUAGAAAAAAUGCAGCUUCCAGAGGUGAAAUUUGUGGAGGUCCUUUUGGAGUUUGUGGGUGUUCGGAACCUACCAGAUGGGCACAAAGGAAGUCUUUUUGUCUCAUUUACUAAAAGUCAGCCUGAUAUAUUUUUUGACUCUAAACGGAAACUCACAAUUUUAUCAGAGUCCAAAGAGAAACAGGUUGCUAUGUUCCAGUGUGAACCAACUGGAGAGCUUCUUUUUGAGCUCAUAUCUCAUUCACCUUCUAACCUACCAUUAACUAGGACAUCCAAAACAUUGGGCACUAGUUCACUUUCACUCAAGGAUCUGUUGGCCCCAGUAUCGAAACUAUCUAUGGAGAGAUGGUUAGACUUGGUGCCAUGUUCUGGAAAUGUGAACUCAAAACCCAUUGGCCUACGUGUUGCUGUCUCAUUGACAGUUCCAGCCCCAGCACAACGCACGCUUGACAUGGUUCAUUCUCGACCAGUGUCAAAAAGUUCUUGUUUCUUUCCUCUUCCUGGAAAGAUUAAAGAUCCCAAUAGCAGGAUGCAUGUAAUUGAUGAAAGUGGCACCAAGCUCAUCAGUCUCCAAAUUAGGACUGCUGAAAGGGCAAAGGUGAAUGAAAAUGGCAGUCCCAGGAAGGAGGUGAUUGGAAUCAUGGAAUCUGGUGAGAUAUGUACUCUUGCAGAGUUUACCGGGACUGGCUGGUCUUUGAUGAAUUCUCAUUGGUCCCUUCAAUCUUCUAAGAAUUCCAGUAAAGACAACCAUAUCUUUGAGCUCGUCAGUAAUAAAAUGGUGAAAUUUUUUCCUGGAAGAAAGUUGGACUAUGAACCUAAAUAUUGCGAGAAACAUUCAAGUGAACAAGACUUUUUGACUGCAGUUGAAUUCUCUGCUGAGGAUCCUUAUGGAAAAGCAGUGGCAUUGCUGAACUUAAAAUCUGGUUUUGUCAAGGUUAAGGAAGGAUGGAUGCUAGUCCCCAGUCUUAUAUUGGCUUUUAUAUCUUCUGAUAUGUUGAAAAAGGAAAGAUGUGAUGGUUUUGUCGUUAAUCCCAAAAAUUUGGAAAUGAAUAGAGUAGCCAAAAAUAUCAAUGGGAUCCACAAGGAGGGCAAUAUAAACAACCUGGCCCCCUCUGCAGCAAUUGAAGCUGAGUUAAAUACAGAUAUUGCUAAAGAAGAUGCAAUGAUGCCAGGAUUUGCCAAGUCGUCCAGUGGAGGCUGUGGAGGAGGAUGUGGCAGUGGUUGCGGUGGAGGAUGUGGAAACAUAGUGAGGAGUGGUGGCUGUGGUGGGGGAUGUGGCGGUGGCUGCGGUGGUGGAUGUGGAAACAUAGUCAAAAGUGGUGGGUGUGGAGGAUGCGGUGGUGGCUGUGGAAACAAUAUGAAAAGCAGUGGCUGUGGAGGAUGUGGUGGUGGCUGUGGCUCUAAAUUUACUCAAUCUGAUGAUAAGUCAUGCGCUGAUGCACAACCGAAGGAAACACCAGCCAUCCCUAUGAAUGAGGCAGUUGCUGCUUGAUGUCUAUGCAUGUACACAAGAAAUAACACAAUGCAUCUUAAUAAAAGAGUUGAGACUCAUACUUCUCGUAUGCAGUGUCUAUCAGGCUCCUACCGUGUACAGUUCUGGCUAAGGACAAUGCGGGACAAAGAAAAUAUAUAUCAUUCACCUGCAAAGAAUUUUCAAUUCUUGCAAAAGGAGAGGAGUGGCUUGAAGAUACCUGCCGAGCAACUUGUUCUUUAAUAUACAUUGUAUGCAUCUACCAGUAGAAGAAUACCAUUUAUAGCCUGAAAGCUUUUAGGCAGCUUGCUAUCCGGGCUUACUUCCUAACUAAUAGAAUGGUAUUUCCUGAGAGAAGUUGUCCGAGUAGCUAGAUUGUUGCUGUCUUCUUUUUGGCAGUGGGAUAGGGAAACUGUGAGGACUGCCCAUUGGGUCUUUCUUUCAGUUCAUCUUAUUUAUUGUUGAAAUGUAUUUUAACUCUACCUGGUCAUUCUCAUCUAGACGUGAAAAAUAUUUUACUUUCUCUUC